GACGAACGCUGGCGGCGUGCCUAAUACAUGCAAGUAGAACGCUGAAGGAGGAGCUUGCUUCUCUGGAUGAGUUGCGAACGGGUGAGUAACGCGUAGGUAACCUGCCUGGUAGCGGGGGAUAACUAUUGGAAACGAUAGCUAAUACCGCAUAAGAGUAGAUGUUGCAUGACAUUUGCUUAAAAGGUGCAAUUGCAUCACUACCAGAUGGACCUGCGUUGUAUUAGCUAGUUGGUGGGGUAACGGCUCACCAAGGCGACGAUACAUAGCCGACCUGAGAGGGUGAUCGGCCACACUGGGACUGAGACACGGCCCAGACUCCUACGGGAGGCAGCAGUAGGGAAUCUUCGGCAAUGGACGGAAGUCUGACCGAGCAACGCCGCGUGAGUGAAGAAGGUUUUCGGAUCGUAAAGCUCUGUUGUAAGAGAAGAACGAGUGUGAGAGUGGAAAGUUCACACUGUGACGGGAUCUUACCAGAAAGGGACGGCGAACUACGU
rnacentral:rRNA from 1 species